rnacentral:lncRNA from 1 species
CCGAAAACGACUUUUCACUCUGCGCGACAAUUUGAGUUUCUUCUCCAUCUUGGACUACUUUGACAGGUCCAUAAUUUCCUUCGUACAUGAACCUUUCCACUGAGUUUGCUUCUAUGACAAAAGGCCUAUGAUCGGCCUGCACCACCUCUGCUUCGCCCUUGUCAUUCCAAAAAACUAGGCAUUGAUGGAGCGAUGAGGGUAUAUAGCGGUUUCCGUAUAUCUAAUCUCUUCCUAAUAACACAUUGUAACUAGUGGGACCAUCUAUUACAAAGAAGACUGUGGUUCUAGUAGUUGUUCCUAUAGUUAUGUCUAGUGGCAUAACCCCUUUAGUUGAAGUUGCUCCUCCAUUGAAACUUGUCAAGAUGACUUCCGUUGGGAUCAUAUCACCUUCUGUCUUUGCGAAUUUCCUCAUCAUCCUAGAUGGAAUGGUGUUUGUAGCUGCUCCAUUAUCGACUAGCACUUUUGCCACAGGUAUGCCGUUAACUAGAGCUUUAACGUACAAUGACCUCAAGUAUUUGGUCAAUUUCAAGGCUGGUCGCAUAAAAAUAACUUUUUCGGCAGCAUCUAUUUCCACUUCCUGCUUGUCCUCUGUCGAGUUACCCUUUUGUGAUAAGUUAACGUGCAGUCUCUGUCUCCUAAAUUUCUUUUUACUGUUUUCUAAUACUUUUUCUUCAAUUACCCAACCUGUGGGAGGAGGCAUUAUUCUUGGAGGUGAUCCAUACUUUUCAGAGCGAGACACUCUCUUCUUCCUUUUGGGCGUCCCGUACAGCAGGUAAUAAUCGAAAGAACACUAAGAUGGUUCUCCCAAUAAGUCUACUUCACGAACUCCCUCUCGAUGUAGUUGUUUCAACAAAGUAUUGUACGAUACUCCUCUUCUUCUCCUUUCUACUUCCAGAUCGAUUUCCUUUUCGAUGUCUGUCAUACCAUCAUCUUCUUCACCAUUGUAGGCCUCUCUAGAAGUUUGACCUUCUUCAUAUUCCAGCAUGCAUGUUUCCUCUUCGUUAUCUUCCUUUUCUUUAUUCUUGAACUCAUUGGCUAGUAAAUAGUUAUUAGCCACGAUAGGAGGUAACGUACCAAACUGAAUAGUAAGGGGCUGAUCUGGAUCUUCUCCAUCCCUUCUGUCUUGCUCAAAUUUUGACCUCCCAAAAGAAGUCUCU